rnacentral:rRNA from 1 species
UCGGGGCCCAACCUCCCACCCGUGUUGCCCGAACCUAUGUUGCCUCGGCGGGCCCCGCGCCCGCCGACGGCCCCCCUGAACGCUGUCUGAAGUUGCAGUCUGAGACCUAUAACGAAAUUAGUUAAAACUUUCAACAACGGAUCUCUUGGUUCCGGCAUCGAUGAAGAACGCAGCGAAAUGCGAUAACUAAUGUGAAUUGCAGAAUUCAGUGAAUCAUCGAGUCUUUGAACGCACAUUGCGCCCUCUGGUAUUCCGGAGGGCAUGCCUGUCCGAGCGUCAUUGCUGCCCUCAAGCCCGGCUUGUGUGUUGGGCCCCGUCCCCCCCGCCGGGGGGACGGGCCCGAAAGGCAGCGGCGGCACCGCGUCCGGUCCUCGAGCGUAUGGGGCUUCGUCACCCGCUCUAGUAGGCCCGGCCGGCGCCAGCCGACCCCCAACCUUUAAUUAUCUCAGGUUGACCUCGGAUCAGGUAGGGAUACCCGCUGAACUUAAGCAUAUC